GGGGAACUGCAGAGACGCGCGCGCGACAAACGAGACGGUAUCUAUCGGUCCGCACGGGUGUGUUUGUAUGUCUCUGUACGCGCACGUAUGUGUGUACCGAAAACGAAAGAUGUCAAGCCAAUCGGUCAAUACAGGUGGAACCCAAGAUACGCGGUACUUUUGGAUAUACGCAGUGUUCUACAUUUCACAGGUCCUGGAGCAAAUUAAACUGGUUUGACACAUCAGUUGUCAAAUGCACAAUAAAUUCACUUUUGUGUAUGAAGUCUUUAAAUCAGUUAUAAAAUGGUGGCUAAAAUGCACCACGUGAAGCAAUA